UGCUCUGUGGCUUAGUUGGUUAAAGCGCCGGUCUAGCAAAUAUGGGGUCGUGGGAUGAAACCCCACCGGAACGC
rnacentral:tRNA from 1 species